GACGAACGCUGGCGGCGUGCUUAACACAUGCAAGUCGAACGGAAAGGCCUGCUUUCCCUUGUGGAUUGCGGGUACUCGAGUGGCGAACGGGUGAGUAACACGUGAGUGAUCUGCCCCCAACUUGGGUAUAAGCCUGGGAAACUGGGUCUAAUUCCCGAUCGGACUGCAGGGUGGUGCCUGUGGUGGAACACGAUUUUCUAGUGGUUGGGGAUGAGCUCGCGGCCUUUCAGCUUGUUGGUGGGGUAAUGGCCUACCAAGGGGGCGACGGCUAGCCGGCCUGAGGGGGUGGACCGGGACAGUGGGACUGAGAAGCGGCACAGAGACCUACGCAAGGCAGAAGUGGGGAAGAGUGGCAGAUGGGGGGAAGCCUGAUGCAGCGGCGCAGCGUGGGGGAUGACGGCCUUCGGGUGGUAAACUCCUCUCGACCGCGAGGAAGCCACCUGGUUGGAAGGGUGGUGACGGUAGUGGUAGAAGAAGCACCGGCUAACUACGUG
rnacentral:rRNA from 1 species